UAGAUUUUCCACAGGUGUGGGCCCCAUUAGCUCUGGCCACCUGAGAAAGCCCUCAGGCAAAGAGUCGCAGGUGAAAGCCAGCAGUUAGAGGUUCACAGAAAUGAGUGCAGAAGCAUCUUCAGUUGGAGAGCCAUUGCCUCUUGCUGUGAAAUAUUUGGGAAUCUUCAGAAACCAUGAAGAAUAACCUGCUAAAGCUGAGCUGGGACUCUGCCUGGAUAUAACUUAUGGCCUAUUCUAUAUGGAAAGUUGGUUUUCUCACAGUUCCACUCCCUUUCCAGAUAUCAGCAAAUGGCCCUCCUAGCCCAGAAGUCUCCAGAGAGGCCACCAAGUUCUAUUGAACAUCAUGAAUCCUAUGCUCAAGUGAGAUCAGCUCAAGUGAGACCAGAUAUCUGAAGACCUUUUCAUUUUCGCCACCCUCAAAUGAAGGCAUGCAAGUCCUGUUUGUCUCUGCCACUCCUCUAGCUGAUAUGUGCUCCAGAUUUGAAAAUUAAUUUAAGAAGCCAAAUUGUUUCCUGCUUUUCAAAGUUAUACAUAUCGUUACAUAUGUUUAUAUUUAUGUGUACACACAAAUGUAAAGCAAUGAUGCCUCUAUUAAAAUGAUGUU
rnacentral:lncRNA from 10 species